ACCUUAGAGACCAACUAAAUUGGUUCUGGGUAUAAGCUUUCGUGUGUAUGGACAUGAACGCUUAUACCCAGAACCAACUUAGUUGGUCUCUAAAAU